GUCAGCACCCCGUACUGAAGUAACGGGGCUAUGGGCGGAGCGCAGGCUACGCGAAGUCAUGCCUCACUAGAGCGUGAUAGUUGACCAGCCUAAGUGCCUUGUGCACUACGUUUUUUGAGUUAUGACACCCUGUGGAUGCGUAGCUAGUCCCUAGCUCUGUCGUUAGUAGUUAAACAUCUUUAUCGGGUUAAGGAAGUGCUACUAGCCUAACAAGCUCUUAAAACCUUGGCGUUCGCGUAGCGUGUGCGAAGCACUCAGCUAACUUUAC
rfam:Planktothrix tepida PCC 9214 isolate BBR_PRJEB10993 genome assembly, scaffold: BBR_B_PL9214_scaffold26